rnacentral:lncRNA from 1 species
AAUCAAACACAUCUCUUAUGCAAUCUCUUCUGGAACUAGUACUAAUAUGUGGUACGAUCCUUGGGUGAGUGGGAAGAGUAUAUUUCAAUUAUACGGCGAUAGAAUACGAAAAGAUCUUGGGGCUCCCAAAGAUUGGAAGGUUUCCGAGUUCAUUGCUAAUGGUACCUGGUGUCUCCCUAAUCCUAUUUCUCCUGAAAUGUUAUCACUUUGGCCGACUAUCAUAGCUAUUCCAAUCAGGAACAACUCUUCAGAUAUACUUAUUUGGCCUCAUGACAAUGGCAAAUU